rnacentral:rRNA from 1 species
UGGGGAAUUUUGCGCAAUGGGGGAAACCCUGACGCAGCAACGCCGCGUGAGUGAUGAAGGCCUUCGGGUCGUAAAGCUCUGUCAGAGGGAAAGAAGUGCAGUGGUGCUAAUACCAUCAUUGCUUGACGGUACCCUCAAAGGAAGCACCGGCUAACUCCGUGCCAGCAGCCGCGGUAAUACGGAGGGUGCGAGCGUUGUUCGGAAUUAUUGGGCGUAAAGCGCGUGCAGGCGGUCUUUUAAGUCUGAUGUGAAAGCCCCGGGCUCAACCUGGGAAGUGCAUUGGAAACUGGGAGACUUGAAUACGGGAGAGGGUAGUGGAAUUCCUAGUGUAGGAGUGAAAUCCGUAGAUAUUAGGAGGAACACCGGUGGCGAAGGCGGCUACCUGGACCGAUAUUGACG